rnacentral:rRNA from 1 species
GGAGGGUGCAAGCGUUAAUCGGAAUUACUGGGCGUAAAGCGCACGCAGGCGGUCUGUCAAGUCGGAUGUGAAAUCCCCGGGCUCAACCUGGGAACUGCAUUCGAAACUGGCAGGCUAGAGUCUUGUAGAGGGGGGUAGAAUUCCAGGUGUAGCGGUGAAAUGCGUAGAGAUCUGGAGGAAUACCGGUGGCGAAGGCGGCCCCCUGGACAAAGACUGACGCUCAGGUGCGAAAGCGUGGGGAGCAAACAGGAUUAGAUACCCUGGUAGUCCACGCCGUAAACGAUGUCGAUUUGGAGGUUGUGCCCUUGAGGCGUGGCUUCCGGAGCUAACGCGUUAAAUCGACCGCCUGGGGAGUACGGCCGCAAGGUUAAAACUCAAAUGAAUUGACGGGGGCCCGCACAAGCGGUGGAGCAUGUGGUUUAAUUCGAUGCAACGCGAAGAACCUUACCUGGUCUUGACAUCCACAGAACUUUCCAGAGAUGGAUUGGUGCCUUCGGGAACUGUGAGACAGGUGCUGCAUGGCUGUCGUCAGCUCGUGUUGUGAAAUGUUGGGUUAAGUCCCGCAACGAGCGCAACCCUUAUCCUUUGUUGCCAGCGGUCCGGCCGGGAACUCAAAGGAGACUGCCAGUGAUAAACUGGAGGAAGGUGGGGAUGACGUCAAGUCAUCAUGGCCCUUACGACCAGGGCUACACACGUGCUACAAUGGCAUAUACAAAGAGAAGCGACCUCGCGAGAGCAAGCGGAACCUCAUUAAAGUAUGUCGUAGUCCGGAAUUGGAGUCUGCAACUCGACUCCAUGAAGUCGGAAUCGCUAGUAAUCGUAGAUCAGAAUGCUACGGUGAAUACGUUCCCGGGCCUUGUACACACCGCCCGUCACACCAUGGGAGUGGGUUGCAAAAGAAGUAGGUAGCUUAACCUUCGGGAGGGCGCUUACCACUUUGUGAUUCAUGACUGGGGUGAAGUCGUAACAAGGUAACCGUAGGGGAACC